GUCUUUAAUGAUGAUCAAAAUAAUAACUUUCAUUCUUUUGAAGGGUCUUGGUGAUAAUUGCCAUCUGUGUAGAAGAGCUUAUGGAGAUCUAAACUGAGGAGAC